rnacentral:rRNA from 1 species
CCNACCGCGACCCCAGGUCAGGCGGGACUACCCGCUGAAUUU